rnacentral:rRNA from 1 species
AACGAACGCUGGCGGCAUGCCUAACACAUGCAAGUCGAACGAUACCUUCCGGUCUAGUGGCGCACGGCUGCGUAAAGCGUGGGAACCGGCCCUUAGGUUCGCAAUAACUCACCGUAAGGGGCACUAAUGCCGGAUAAUGCCUUCCAGCCAAUGAUAUCUCGCAUUAGUAUGUGCCCGCAUUGGUUUGGCUGGUUGGUAGGGUAAAAGCCUACUGAGGCGUCGAUCCAUAGCUGGUCAGAGAGGAUGAUCAGCCACUCUGGGGCUGAGACACGGCACAGACUCUUACGGGAGGGAGCAGAGGCUGACAUAGGACAAUGGGGGAAGUGCUGAUGGAGCAAUGCUGGGAAAGUUCUGAAGGUCGUAGGGUAGUAAAGCUCUUUUACCCGAGAUGAUAAUGACAGUACCGGGCGAAUAAGCUACGGCUAACUACGUG